rnacentral:pre_miRNA from 1 species
GUUUUUGAGAGGUUGAAGCUGCCAGCAUGAUCUGGUACGAACAAAGUCCAUUUCUUUCUAUAUAUAUAUUUUCUUGCAAAGAAUAAAAGAAAAGAAAGUCCAUUUUUUCUUAAAAUCUUGAGGUCUAGCUUUUCCUAUUUUGGGUUUGAACUUAGCUAAGUGAUUUGGAAAAAAAAAUGGAAUUUUGCAAAGUUUUUAUUGAAAGAGAAUAUAGGUAGCUUUCAUAGGUUUGGUUCCAUCAGGUCAUCUAGCAGCUUCAAUCACUCACCAA